CACUACUCAAGCCUAGCUUGGUAUUGGGCGCCGCAGCGUUUAGCUGCGCGCCUUAAAGACUCUGGCCGGUCAUCGAAACCCUAAGCGUUGUGGAGCCUUUUACUCGCUUAUAGGAGUCGACGGCAUUUGGCCAUUAAGCCUCAGACUAUCAA
rnacentral:misc_RNA from 1 species